rnacentral:misc_RNA from 1 species
GAUGAAGAACGUAGCGGAAUGCGAUAAGUAAUGUGAAUUGCAGAAUUCAGUGAAUCAUCGAAUCUUUGAACGCACAUUGCGCCCGCCAGUAUUCUGGCGGGCAUGCCUGUCUGAGCGUCAUUUCAACCCUCAUGCCCCUAGGGCGUGGUGUUGGGGAUCGGCCAAAGCCCGCGAGGGACGGCCGGCCCCUAAAUCUAGUGGCGGACCCGUCGUGGCCUCCUCUGCGAAGUAGUGAUAUUCCGCAUCGGAGAGCGACGAGCCCCUGCCGUUAAACCCCCAACUUUCCAAGGUUGACCUCAGAUCAGGUAGGAAUACCCGCUGAACUUAAGCAUAUCAAUAAGCGGAGGA